UACAUGGAUUUUCUUAAAUCCAUUCAAACAUUCUUUGACUUUUAU
rfam:Otolemur garnettii contig073167, whole genome shotgun sequence.